rnacentral:rRNA from 1 species
GACAGAGGGUGCAAACGUUGUUCGGAAUUACUGGGCGUAAAGCGCGUGUAGGCGGCUAAGUAAGUCGGGCGUGAAAUCCCACGGCUCAACCGUGGAAGUGCACUCGAAACUGCGUAGCUAGAGUCCUGGAGAGGAAGGUGGAAUGCUUGGUGUAGAGGUGAAAUGCGUAGAUAUCAGGAGGAACACCUGCGGUGUAGACGGCUUUCUGGACCAUUGUUGACGCUGAGACACGAAAGCGUGGGUAGCAAACAGG